rnacentral:tRNA from 1 species
ACCCGGAUAGUUUAAGUGGUUAAAACUUUAAUUUCAUGCGUUAAGAAUGAGAAUUCAAAUUUCUCUCCUGGUUCAA